UUCUGUUGACAAUGAACUCUGAUUUUUAAGCUGAGGGGAUGAUUGUGUCCGAAGGACAGGAAAUACACAGUGUAAGGACUGACAUCACUGGAGCAAGGAGAGCAGGGUUCAACAUAAUGUAAACUACGACACCAUGCCCAUGGUGAGAGGUUUGGCUACAGAGAGGUUGUUUUAAAAGGAGAUCCUAAGAAGUUGAAUCUCCAUGGGGUAAGAAUAGUAUAUCUUCCGUUUGUUAUUGAUUGUGAAUAGGUAUGAUGAGGUUUGUCUAAAUCUUAAUAGAGGGACAUAAUCAAACAUAUCUGGUGCCACCUCAACCUCGACACCUCUCUUCUCUCACCCUUUUUUCUCUCUCGCUCUCUCUCUCUCUUUCUCUCGCUCUCUGCCUCAACCUAUCCUUUUUUCUGUCUCCUCUUUCUUCCCAUGCGCCACUCUCUGCCCCUCAUUCUCUUGCUCUCUCUCUCUCUCUUGCUUUCUAAACCUGUCCUAUCCUGUCUCUUAUCUCCUCUGCCCGUGUCACUCUCACAGCAGACGUGUGCUGUCUGCCUGGAAGACUUCAAAGUCAAAGACGAUCUGGGUGUGUUGCCAUGCCAACAUGCCUUUCACAGGAAGUGUCUGGUGAAAUGGCUGGAGGUGCGCUGUGUGUGCCCCAUGUGUAACAAACCUAUCGCAGGACCCCCAGAAAAGCGCCACAGCAUAGGAACACUACUGGACGAACUGGUGUAACCAUAGCAUCCAGCACGGAGGGGGCUCUGCAAGCCAAUGUAAUCUAGCUCUAACAGGAAGAGAACACUGUUAUCUGGUGUAACCUAGCAACCAACAGAAAGAGGACGCUGUUAUCUGGUGUAUCCUAGAAACCAUCCACAGAUUACUGUGAAAUGGUGUAACCUAGCUACCACCUGGAGAGGACUAUAAGAACUGCUGUUACCUAGCAACCAACACAGAGCUGCAGACAGGAGUCUACACCACACUCUGUCUAAUCUCCUUCCCAGACACUUCCGCCUUAAUGCACGAAGAGUCUGUUGGACCAAAGCGUCAAACUUGGCUUUUGUUAGCAAAUAGAAAGGCCAGGAGAAACUCCCAGCGCAUAGGCAUUGGCUUAAUCUACCAACCAAUCAUCUCCAACAGCACCUUCCCCCUAACCCUCUCUCGUACAUGUCUUCCAUACGUGUCUUGCCUCCAUUUGGAGUCACGCCUCGCAGUCGUGUGAUUCGCUCAAAUUAAAUGAUGACAAAUACUUUACUCAGUAUGGUCACUGUAGAAUUCUAUGGUCACUCCCACACCCACUAAAGCCAACUUUGAAUCAUUGGUAUCCCAGGCUUAUUUGCGCUGUGCGCAAUAGCAUGGGGACGAGGUUACACUCUGUCUGACAGAAUAUCUCCAUACCCACAUGUCACUCUUUCUUUCUUUCUUUCUUUCUCUUUGUCUCUGACUGUCUAACUCUUCCUCUGUCUCUCUUUCCCCUUUCCUCUCACUCACCCUCUCUCUGCUCUUGACUUUCUGCCACUCUCUGUCUUUAUUUCUCCCUCUCUUCUGAUGUCUCUAUGCUCUUUCUCAACCUUGUCUCUUUCUCUCCCAUACUGCCUCAGAGUUGCACGCUAGUUCCAAAGUCAGAAAGAGGGGAAACCUCCAGACUCUCCAGUUGGGAGAGUGGAGGAACAGGCCGGCUGACAUGAAGACGAGUGGCACUAUCAGAACCAUGGGGUUGAGAAAAUACACAGUGAUGUUCUAAUAAUGUGCAUCACCCUCUCACAAUUUCUUUUUUUUGGUUUAAUGACUGAAACGUGUUAUUUCUUCAGAAUGUAGACGAUGUUUUGCACUCUAACACUCUGACAGGUUUUUUUGGAAACUUAUUACCAUUCUACACUACCGCAAAUGUAGUUAAAGACUAUUCUCAACAACAUAUUUGUGACGCGCAGGUGGUUUGGUGAACCAUGCUCACAUGUUUUAGAACCACCUGAAGACUUGUUUUAGCUCCCAGCAUGAGCACCUAGGCUUUAGCUCAGUAGUCUGUUGUGGACCUGAGAUAUGCAGACAGCCUGGUUUUGACACCUAGCCAAUCACAUCGAUGGAUUGAGACAUCUAAGUAAUCAAAGGCACUACACCUGCCGUUUUCUUUCGUAUUAGUGGUGUAGUAAAACCUGUGACGUGGCUUUCAUGAAGCAAAGCGUUCUUCAUAUUUCAAUCAAGUUACAGUAGAGUUUAGAGAGUUUCACUGUUUUUGUGUGAUUCUUUCUCAAGAACAACUCAGUCACAUUGUAUACUUUUUGUAUAAUAUGUUUUUACAUUUCUUGACGGUGGCAUUCAAUGGCUCCUUUUCACACAUUUUUGUGGAGUAAUCUGUUUUUUAAAACUGUUUUACCAGACGAACACAGACCAAGUAAACACUGCCUAUAUUGAGCACAAAAGCACAUUAACACUCCGCUAUAGUCUCUGUAUUAAGAAUGGACUGAAUCAUCGCUUUGUUUGAUCACACUUAUGUAAUGUGUGACUGUGCCAAUGAAGUACAGCACUGUGUUGACCAGGGGAUGAAGAAAAUUAUAAACCCGGGUAAUUUGAGUCCUGGAUGCUGAUUGGCUGAAACAGUAGUUCAGCCAUGUGCAUAUCAGACAAUAUGCCACGGGUAUGACGCAAAAAUACUUGUUUACUCUUCUAAUUAUGUUGGUAACCAGUUACUAAUAGCAGUAAAUACCCAAGUCCGUUUGGGAUAUUAGAACAAGGAACACUUUUUUCCCCCCUCUCGGACAUUGCACCCACAUUAGAACAGCAGAAUAUGUACUGCAAAGAAAUGUUGCACUCUGUUCGAAGCUCUCACCUCCUUUUCAUCCACAAAACAAAAACAAUAACAAAGAUGCCAGGGCGGACAGUGGCGCUGUUUCCCUGAUGCGGAUUCCAUCUCUAAAUAUAGCACCCCCUACAGCACCGACAGAGAUUAGCUUUUCCCAACACCAGCCACAUUCCACGUUUUUGGUGUGCAUCAAUAAAUAUGACUUUAACAAAUGGAGGGGUUUCCUCUUCAUCUCAGUUUGUUACUUUUCAAGUUGUUUGUGUCUGGACUAUGUUGUGUGCGUGUGCAUUUGUGUGUGGGAACUGAGCACCACCCUCUGGUAAAACCGAAGAGUAACAUCUGAAGUCUUAUUUCGGUCGGCCACUUGUGGUGACAUGCAGCUCUGCCACUUUCCUAUCCUACAUGUCAUCUCUAAAUCUGAAUAUGUCUUGAUUUGAAAAAAAAAAA